CUCUCUCUCUCUCUCUCUCUCUCUUUCUCUCUCUCUCUGUGGGACUCGGAGAGAGUGUGUGAGAGAAAGACAGUGAGGGAAAGAG